AGCUGGAAUUAACUGAGAUGGCCAGGUUACUACCAGUGCAGGAGAAUUUUCUUCUUAAAUUCCAGGGAAUCAAAAUGUGUGGGAAAGAGUUCAAUAAGGCUUUUGAGCUGUAUGAUCAGGUAAAAGUUUGUUACUUUUUCCUUUCUUUUUUAUUGAAGUAAGAACACAACAUAAGAUCCUCUUAAAAAAUUUAAGUAUAAAAUACAAUACUGCAAACUAUAGAGACAAUCUUGACAGCAGAUCUUUAGAAUUUAUUCAUCUUAUAUAAUUGAGACUUUAUGCCCAUUGGUGAAUAACUCCUCAUUUCUCCUUCCCCCAGCCCUGGCAAUAACAUUCUACUUUAUGAGUCUGACUAUUUUAGAUACCUCAUACAAGUGGCAUCAUGCAGUAUUUGUCUUGUACUGAGAUUGAUUGAUCAUAUGCAGUUCUAUUUUUAAUUUUUUGAGGACUCUCCACACUGUUUUUCAUAGUGGAUGCACCAUUUUUGCAUUCCCACCAAUGUAUACAAGAGUUCCAAUUUUUCUUCAUUCUCACUAACACUUGUCUUUUAUCUUUUUGAUAAUAGCCAUUCUAACAGGUGUGAGGAGAUAU
rnacentral:sRNA from 1 species